rnacentral:rRNA from 1 species
AAAUUGAAGAGUUUGAUCAUGGCUCAGAUUGAACGCUGGCGGCAGGCCUAACACAUGCAAGUCGAGCGGCAGCGGGAAGUAGUUUACUACUUUGCCGGCGAGCGGCGGACGGGUGAGUAAUGUCUGGGAAACUGCCUGAUGGAGGGGGAUAACUACUGGAAACGGUAGCUAAUACCGCAUAACGUCUUCGGACCAAAGUGGGGGACCUUCGGGCCUCACGCCAUCGGAUGUGCCCAGAUGGGAUUAGCUAGUAGGUGGGGUAAUGGCUCACCUAGGCGACGAUCCCUAGCUGGUCUGAGAGGAUGACCAGCCACACUGGAACUGAGACACGGUCCAGACUCCUACGGGAGGCAGCAGUGGGGAAUAUUGCACAAUGGGCGCAAGCCUGAUG